CACGGAGGGAGGGAGAGCGAUCGCGAGGCAGACACCGCGGGCGCGGGGUGCGCCGAGGCUCCUGCGCCGCAAGCGAGGGGUGACAGCCCGUGCGUCCCGCCCGGGCCCUGCCAGCAAACUUCCCAGCCUUGGGAGGCGCGGGCUGGCGGAAGCCCUGCGAGCGCCGCGGGGAGGCGGAGGCGCCUGUUUGUUUUUAAAAUCCGGGAGUGCGUGCAGGCGGCCGGAGCCUGGGAGAGGACCGAAGGCGGCGGCCCGCGGCGGAAGGGGGACAGCCGAUGCUGGAGCUCGGGCAGGAGACGGGUAAGUGGGGUGCCCGGCCGGCGGCCGAGGCCUGCACGCGGCGGCGGCCCAGGGACCCCGGGCUGCGCGGCGGCGGCGGCGGCGGCGGCGGGGCGCGCGAGCUGUAGCCCUGCAGGCGCGGCCGGGGGCGGGGGCGCGGGGCCGCGGGGGGCGCGGCGCGGCAACUUCUGCGGCCUGGGCGGCCGGGGCGGGCUGUGCGUGUGUACGUGCGUCCGCCGCUCCGCAGCCCGCAGCCCGCAGCCCGCAGCCCGCGCCCCGCGCCCCGCGGCCCGCACCCCAGCCCGCAGCUGCGUGCGCCGCGCCAGCCCGCCGUGUUUGUGCAGCUACGCAGCUCGCGCGCGGCCCCCGCCCACCCGGGCGCGGCCCCGGCCCCGGCCCCGGCCCCGGCAGGAAAACCCUUCCGAGCCGCCCGGGCCCCGCCGCGCGGGCGGCGAUGGCGACGGCUCGGGAACGCGGCUGCUCCUCGGCUGGAGAGAAACGUGGUGUCCGCGGGGACCGGCGUGCGUGACCGAGCCCGGGCCCCGGAGGCGUCGGGAGGGGCUCGAGCGAGCCGCGGGAACUUGGCGCCGAAGCCCCUUCCCUUGGCCCUGCCAGUGUGCACGACAAAGUGGACGCGGAAACCGUGCCCGCGCCGGGGGUUUGGGGGACCGACGUGCAGAGGCGGCGGGGAGCUGGGGCAAGUGCAGCAGAGGCCUAAGCCGGAGCACCGGGGGCGGGCGGGCCGGCCUCACCCCGCGCCCCUCGGCGCUGCCGGCGCACCUCAGACCUGUCAUCCUCCUCGCCCGCCCCCGCACGCCCUCGCCCGCCCUCGCCGCUGCGGCCUGCCGAGCUCUCCGCGCCUCACCGUGUGCUGUGUUUGAGGAGUGCCCUCCGGAACUCGGGGGCCCGGGUUUUGUCUGGACCCUGCACAUGGCCGGCUUGGUGGAGGUAGUCAACCCCCCCCUUCCUCCCAGCUCACGCUUACAAGAGCGUGUGCGCCAGGUUGCCCUCCUGGAGGGCCCCCGCCCAAGCCUCUGGAUAAGGGCCUGGUGCCGCCCUGCGAUUUCCAAGCCUCAGCCCCAAGGAGGGCAGACCUGGAGGAGGUACCUGCCACUCAAAGUGGACGCCACUGGGCAUUCCAGCCCAGCCUCCAGAGCGAGCUGCUGGAAAGAUGAAAGGGGAAGUUUCUCGCCCCAUUUAAAACUUUGUUGGUCACAACUUUUGUGGCUACUUCCUGCUUCCACCAUUCCACAUCGGAGCCAUGUGCCAGCCUGUGUGGAGCCUGGCUCCGGGGCCGGCGAGAUGGGAGGAGGAGAGCUGGCUGGCCGUGGCUGA
rnacentral:lncRNA from 1 species